AAUAGAUACCGAGAUUCAGUCCAGUCCUGUGGCUGGAAGCAGCGCCCCCUCUCCCCUAACCCUGAGGGAUGCAGGGGAAUGGAAAGGCAGCCCCAGAGAAUAGAGAACAGAGGGCUUACUCAGUCCUGACAGCCAGGAGCACUUCACAGACCCCUCGACCUGGAGGCUCUGCUCAGGAUUCAGCUGAAGCUGUGUCCAGGACCCAGCUGUAUCCAUAUGACCUUGUGAGUGAAACCCAACCCGAUUCUGAUUCUGAAUUCCAAGCUCUAGAAUAACAACAAUGGUUAGCAUGUACUGAGGGACUCUGAGCCAAGCACUGCCAAGUGCUUCAUACCCAUGGCCUCCUUCCAGCCCUACAACGCUGCGAAGUCAAUGCUGUGCCAUUCUACUUUUCCCUUCAUUCCUGGAACUUCUGGGCACAGAAAGUGGAGGAGGAUGAGCAGAGAGCAACAUGAAUCGCUUUUAACAGACUUGCAGUCUUUAGAAGAGGAACUAUGUCCUGAUCAUCAGUGUAUCCUCAGGACUUGGGACAGCAGGAAUGUGUGAUGAAGAAAUAGAGGACAAAUGAGGAACAUUCUCUUAACGGGGAAAACUAAAUUUUCCCAUCAUGUCAAUGUCAUGGAAGACAAAGCCAACUAUUCCAGAUUAAAGGAGACUAAAGAGGGAUCCCUGGGUGGCGCAGCGGUUUGGCGCCUGCCUUUGGCCCAGGGCAUGAUCCUGGAGACCCGGGAUCGAAUCCCACAUCAGGCUCCCGGUGCAUGGAG